UUCUCCCCCCUCCCCCUGCCCUUCCCCCCCCCCAAAUAAAUAAAGGAAGGAAAGAAGGAAGGAAGGAAGGAAGGAAGGAAGGAAGGAAGGAAGGAAGUUAGUUCCAGGUGGAAGAAACAGUCUGUGCAAAGGCCCUGAGGCAGGAGUCUGCUUAGCCAGCAUUUGUUUGUCAUUUAAUAGAGUUACCUCUCAUGCAGUGUUUUUCCCCAUUCUUUUCCUCCACUCGGCCAGUCUAGGAAUUUGUAUCCUCUCCCCUCUCCAGCUGAGAACAUCAAGGCUCAGAGAGGGUAAGAGGCCUACUGAGGUCCCCCAGCAGGUGGUAGGCAAGCUGCAAUUUGAACCAGUCUCUUGCACUCUUCAUGAUGGGGUCCACUGAUGUGACAUGGGCAUGGCCAGGUCUGAAUCCCUGUCUUUUAGCACAGGGACUGGCCAGGGCAGCAGGGGAGGGACAGAGGGAGGAAGAAUUUCAGGUCAGCGCCCGCCCUGCACCGAGUAGUGGUGGGAUUCCUCGUGGUGGCCCAUUUCUAUGUGAAGAUGCUCGCAACAAAAGUCAUACCUACGUCAUCUCAGAGGAGGGAAGCGUCUGGACUAGUGCGCGUCCCCCGAACAUGCUGCUUACAGCUUCUGUGAUCCGGAAGGAAAUCCGGAGGACAGAAGACAAAACACCUGCGCUUUGUGUGUUUAUGGGCAUUGUGUAUUCUCCCCUCAUCGACCUCUCUGCGGAUGGGGAGACGUGGCCGAAGGCCCUGGCCCGGGGUCCUGCAGCCUGGGAGCGGUGGAGCUGAGCUCUGAACUUCGCCCUUGCCCUGGAAAGCACGUGCAGACCACCACAGUGAGGAAAACAUGAGUGACAAAACCAGCCAGUGUUGCCUGUGCACUGUGUGGAAAGACUCUCUCCAGCCCAGGAGGGGCUACUGAGCCGUCUCCGUUAGCAGGAAGACAAAGUGAGGCCUCAUGAGACGCCGUCUUAAACCUCAGUAAGACCACUGAUUAGCCCAAUGAAAAGCGGACAAAGGAUAUGAUCAGAAAAGAAAUCCCCACAGAGAGAAAGUAUCUGCAAAACACUAUAUCUGAUUUAAAAAAAAAAAGUAUCCAGAAUAUAUAAAGAACUCCCUCCCCCCAAAAAAAUAAAUCAAUUAAGAAAUGGACA
rnacentral:lncRNA from 1 species